AGUGAACGCUGGCGGUAGGCCUAACACAUGCAAGUCGAACGGCAGCACAGUAAGAGCUUGCUCUUACGGGUGGCGAGUGGCGGACGGGUGAGGAAUACAUCGGAAUCUACUUUUUCGUGGGGGAUAACGUAGGGAAACUUACGCUAAUUCCGCAUACGACCUACGGGUGAAAGCAGGGGAUCUUCGGACCUUGCGCGAUUGAAUGAGCCGAUGUCGGAUUAGCUAGUUGGCGGGGUAAAGGCCCACCAAGGCGACGAUCCGUAGCUGGUCUGAGAGGAUGAUCAGCCACACUGGAACUGAGACACGGUCCAGACUCCUACGGGAGGCAGCAGUGGGGAAUAUUGGACAAUGGGCGCAAGCCUGAUCCAGCCAUACCGCGUGGGUGAAGAAGGCCUUCGGGUUGUAAAGCCCUUUUGUUGGGAAAGAAAAGCAGCAGGUUAAUACCCCGCUGUUCUGACGGUGCCCAAAGAAUAAGCACCGGCUAACUUCGUG
rnacentral:rRNA from 1 species